UGGGGAAUAUUGGACAAUGGGCGGAAGCCUGAUCCAGCCAUGCCGCGUGUGUGAAGAAGGCCUUUUGGUUGUAAAGCACUUUAAGCGAGGAGGAGGCUCUUCUAGUUAAUACCUAGGAUGAGUGGACGUUACUCGCAGAAUAAGCACCGGCUAACUCUGUGCCAGCAGCCGCGGUAAUACAGAGGGUGCGAGCGUUAAUCGGAUUUACUGGGCGUAAAGCGUGCGUAGGCGGCUGAUUAAGUCGGAUGUGAAAUCCCUGAGCUUAACUUAGGAAUUGCAUUCGUUACUGGUAAGCUAGAGUAUGGGAGAGGGUGGUAGAAUUCCGGGUGUAGCUGUGAAAUGCGUAGAGAUCUGGAGGAAUACCGAUGGCGAAGGCAGCCAUCUGGCCUAAUACUGACGCUGAGGUACGAAAGCAUGGGGAGCAAACAGG
rnacentral:rRNA from 1 species